ensembl:lncRNA
CUGGAAUGCUCAACCUGCGUCACAGGCUGAUAGCGUUUUUAAGAAAAAAAUAAAAAAAGCACGCCCUCCAUCUGCUUCUCAUCAUCGUCAUCCAUCUCGUCUUCCUCCCCCCGCUCCUGUCAUCCAGACUCUCUGUUUCAUGCUCUGCCUCACCAGUUCAUCCAACCCUCUACCACUACCACAACCUCUGGAGCUGUGGCAUGGAUAAAUAGGCCACAACAGCUGGGCCUGAGUCCUGACCAGGACCACCCCUCCAGACUUGACCAACAACACACCCUUUUCUUUCCCACAAUGACCACCAGCACCUCUGGUCAAAGGGAGGCGUUUGAUCAUAUUCCAGCUGCCACAGGGCGAGAGGCAGGGCCCACCCUGGACAGGUUGCCAGCCCAUUGCAGGGUUUCAAUAUUCCCAUAACAACAAUCUGAUGAAUUGACAAAAUAUUCAUCAGAUUAAUGUUCCUCCACUGCUGAAGGAUUCUCCACUCUCACGCUAUCUGACGAGGCCUGUCCCCGGACCUGUCUGGCAUCAGGAGCCCCUGGCACGAUGCUCCCUAUUGAGUCUUGACAAAAAGUAGGUCACUUGCAAAGCUCCUGCUGGACACGCGCAGUGGAAAGAAAAUAAACGGGGCAGAUGAAUGGAGCUCGACUGGAGGUGGACGGGCUUCCUGCGAGGGCCUCAGAGGGAUGCUGAGACAGAGUACACGGGGAUCUGCCAGGCCCGGGAGCCAUCGCCAGUCACCUUCAAGGCCUUCCCCAAACCGCAGCUCAAGUCAUGUCCAAGCAUUCACCUUCACCUACUAAAACGCUGUCAAACCUAAAUGAAGACGUG